rnacentral:rRNA from 1 species
ACGGGUGAGUAACGCGUGGGAAUCUACCGUGCCCUGCGGAAUAGCUCCGGGAAACUGGAAUUAAUACCGCAUACGCCCUACGGGGGAAAGAUUUAUCGGGGUAUGAUGAGCCCGCGUUGGAUUAGCUAGUUGGUGGGGUAAAGGCCUACCAAGGCGACGAUCCAUAGCUGGUCUGAGAGGAUGAUCAGCCACAUUGGGACUGAGACACGGCCCAAACUCCUACGGGAGGCAGCAGUGGGGAAUAUUGGACAAUGGGCGCAAGCCUGAUCCAGCCAUGCCGCGUGAGUGAUGAAGGCCUUAGGGUUGUAAAGCUCUUUCACCGGAGAAGAUAAUGACGGUAUCCGGAGAAGAAGCCCCGGCUAACUUCGUGCCAGCAGCCGCGGUAAUACGAAGGGGGCUAGCGUUGUUCGGAAUUACUGGGCGUAAAGCGCACGUAGGCGGAUAUUUAAGUCAGGGGUGAAAUCCCAGAGCUCAACUCUGGAACUGCCUUUGAUACUGGGCAUCUUGAGUAUGGAAGAGGUAAGUGGAAUUCCGAGUGUAGAGGUGAAAUUCGUAGA